rnacentral:rRNA from 1 species
UGCCAGCCGCCGCGGUAAUACUGAAGGUGCAAGCGUUAAUCGGAAUCACUGGGCGUAAAGCGCUCGUAGGUGGCUUUGUAAGUCAGAUGUGAAAGCCCACGGCUCAACCGUGGAAUUACAUUUGAUACUGCAUCGCUAGAGUAUAGGAGAGGGAAGUGGAAUUUCUGGUGUAGGAGUGAAAUCCGUAGAGAUCAGAAGGAACACCGGUGGCGAAGGCGGCUUCCUGGUCCAAUAUUGACGCUGAGGUGCGAAAGCGUGGGGAGCGAACAGGAUUAGAUA